AUUCACCUUCGAGUACUGCAAACUUUUUUUUUUUUUUUUUUUUUCUGAGAUGGAGUCUCACUCUGUCGCCCAGGCUGGAGUGCAGUGGCACGAUCUCGACUCACUGCAAGCCCCGCCUCCCGGGUUCCCGCCAUUCUCCUGCCUCAGCCUCCCGAGUAGCUGGGACUACAGGCGUCCGCCACCAUGCCCGACUAAUUUUUUGUAUUUUUAGUAGAGACGGGGUUUCAUCGUGUUAGCCAGAAUGGUCUCGAUCUCCUGACCUCGUGAUUCGCCAGCCUCGGCCUCCCAAAGUGCUGGGAUUACAGGCGUGAGCCACCACGCCCAGCCGGGUACUGCAAACAUUUAAACAUUUUAAACGUUCCUCGAAGACAAUUUUUCCUUCCAGGACAAUGACUGAUACACCUUCUUAAGCUUACAACUGCAAAUAAGUCUCUGCCUAACAUAGCAUCUCUGCUAUACAGCCGGGAAUGUACUCCUACUCAAUGGGAUGGCUACACAAUGAAAUCAAUGAGUGACUGCACUUAAAAAAUGCCCAUUACAAUAUGAGCUAUGUCUUCCUGAAGGUGGCCUUUUAAUGUCAAAUGAGAUAAAGUAUGUAAAAAUGUUUUAUAAAUUUUAAAAUGUGAUAAAUAUUAUUUUGUGUGGAUGAUAAAUGUAGCUAUGGGUUCUAUUGACUGAAAGAUAAGCACUGCUCCUUCAUGAAUCAAACCAUUAAUUCCUGAUGGUGUUUAAUUAUUAUCGAACAUAUUUUUCUUCACAGGAGCUGUCAUUUAAAUGUGCUUGCCAACUAGCUUGUUUAUCAAAACAUUCCAGACCCUUUCAAAUUCUCAUUUACAUUGUUUCUUGUUUACCACACCCAUAAAUUUGUAUUACCAGCAUAUUUAACUAUCCGGCUAUUUUGGAGAUUGAAAAAAGAAGACCUGAUUUAUCAUGUGCAAUAUCUCACACAUCUGUCAUUUCUAUUCUACCGCAAUUCGAUGGAGUCUUGUUCUGUGGUCCAGGCUAGAGGGCAGUGGCAUGAUCUCGGCUCACUACAAGCUCUGCCUCCCGGGUUCACGCCAUUCUCCUGCCUCAGCCUCCUGAGUAGCUGGGACUACAGGCGCCCGCCACCACGCCUGGCUAAUUUUUUGUAUAUUUACUAGAGAUGGCUAGUGUUAGCCAAGAUGGUCUCGAUCUCCUGACCUCGUGAUCUGCCCACCUCAGCCUGCCAAAGUGCUGGGAUUACUGGCGUGAGCCACCGUGCCUGGCCAGCAUCCUCUAAUUAUUAUUCAUAGUUUGUGAAUUUAGGCCUACGUGAAUAAUAAUAUAAUAUUUACUAUGAUGUUACUAUCUACCAACCUUAUUUUUCUUUUCUAUAAAAUAGGAGCCAAAAUAAUAUUUAUGUCAUACCUUAUGAAGUUAAAAUAAAAUAUAACGAAUGAGGGGCUUAACAA
rnacentral:lncRNA from 1 species